rnacentral:lncRNA from 1 species
GGGGGCAUAAGAGGAAGCAGCACGGAUGGGCGGAGGGGCAGCGAGAGAAGAGCGGGCACUUACAUAGGUUGCGUUUGGACAGAGAGAGACGAGAGGCCAGCAGCUGCAAACAGCAGGGACAGUAAUGACAUGGUGGCUUCACAAAACUGCAUUUGCCUCCAAUAUUGAAGCAAAUAUCAUCAUCUUGCUGAAAAAAUAGUUUGCUGAUGUCAAGGUGAGCUGUGAACCCCUGACUGCGUGGGACAGCAGAAAAGGAGUAGGAGCAUGUAUUAAGGCUGGGGAAACCACAGAAAGGCUUGCAAAGGUGAAGAAGAUACGAAAGGGAAAGGACCAUCAGGGGAGAAGAUGAGCUUUACUGAGGGUGUGUGUUACCUCUGCUUUACAAAAACCAAGUUACAGCAGCAAAGUCGUAGAGAUCCCUGGAAGAUCUAUGUCUCCACCUAUGGAUAGACAGGAUGGUGGUGAAUACCACCUGUUCCCAUUAAAUCUGACACAGCCACAGUGGCAGUCAAGAUCUCUCAGAAACGUGCAUGUUCAGGACAGUAGGCACCAAUGAACAGACAUGUGCAUACCUGCGCAUACACAGGGAAGGAAAUUGCUCUCAGCUAGUGUUGCCAGGUAUGUAUCAUUCCAAUCAUCACUACUAUGUGUAAAUAUUUAGUAAUGCAGUCAAUUGUAAGUUUGGGUGUUUUUAUACUUCUGCAUUCUAAUAGCAGUCAUUAAGGGGAUGCAUUCACUUUUGCAAAAUUAGCAUUUUUUAAAGUGAAACAUAGAAAAAGAUGAAAUUGUAAUAUUUUCUGUAUGAAAUAUUUAGUAUGUUAAAGAAAUAUGUUUUGGUCAACAGAGGGCACUCUAUGGUUUUCAAAGGAGCCUAAUAGAAGCUUAAAAAGGUUCAGUAGGAGAUGACUCAGUGUGGUUUUCAAAGAGCCUUUAGUACUGGUCAAUCUAUAAUUUAUUGGAAAUGCUACUGAUUUCCACUAUAACAUAGAGUACGGGAAUGAAAGAGAACCCCAUCAUUUGAUAAAUUCAGAUACUAGGAUUAAGGCUGUGAUGUACACAGCCAGCUCUUAGUUACAUCUUCAAAAUUGGAAACUAUGUGAAAAGUUGUAACGUACUGAGUCAAAAGUGUACUUACCCAGUAAUGCAGUAAUGAUGUGUUUUACCCUUGUUUGUUUAAAAAUGAUGACUUUGAAUAUCAUAAGUGCUGACAGGUCAGUCCCCACUGCUGUACAUACAGGUUAUUUCUUCCAGUUCAUAAAUAGGUUACUUUCCUGACACCAGCCUACCUUGUGCUGUUUACUUUACUGACCACUUUUAGUUCUGUUGUUCACUUAUUUUCAAAUAAAACAAUUGCAUUUAGGAAUAGAACCUGAAGGGAAAUUUUGUUAGAGCAAACUAGGUAUUUUUAGCCAGUCUAUCUAGAAUGAAUGGAAAUAAAGCAACAAAGAUAUGGAAUAAAAUUAAUCAUUGAUAUGUAAAACUUCAGAAAUUACUUUAACUGAGAUUUUUAUACAGAAGCCAAGCUAUAAGGACUUAGCAGGAGUACUGCAUGCAGAACUAUCACACAUUAAGGUAGCAUGAAUGUAUUUCUGUAAAGUAGACUCUUUCUGAAUAAACCCCAAAAACUAAAAUUGGGAAAGCAAUGCUCCUGGAGAGCACAGGAGUUAAGCAUUGACACAGCUUUAUGUAGUUGCAUGUUUCUUGUUAACAAACCUUCAAGCAUGUGAUCUAUGUGUAAAGGUGGGGCAGUACAGGCAUUUCCAGCUAGAGGGAAGAUGCUAAAAGUUAAAGCAGAGAGAAGUGCAGUAGGUCCUCAUGUUAUCCAUCCCUCCUAUAGUAACCCCCCUCCCGAGAAUCACUGUGUAACAUGUGCUUGUAAUUACAGACAGUAGGAGACCCAGUGAAGAACCAGUCAGAGUUUAGAGGCCAAGUUCUUAUCUCUUUCCUGUGCCUAUGUGUGUGGGAUGAAUUGAGUGUGUGUCAAUCAGAGCCCAGCUCUCACAAGGAGCGAGGAUUCCUUUCUUGCAAACCUGACGAGUGGAAGUUAAAAGCUGUUUUCCUUGCUUCAACACUUACAUUUGCCAACAGCUGUUUCAACAUUUAUAAACACAAUUCCCACUGGCUGCCAAAUUAUCAUAAAUUCAUUUCUGCAUAUUUUUGAGUACUAGGCAUAAAAAUAAUUACAUCUGAUUAAAUCUACUUAUGCUUUCACACCUUUCAAAUGUAUGGUAGAUAUGAAUUGUUGCAAUAUAUUAUAUCUAAACAAAAAUUUCAUGAUGACUUCCAGGCAGAUUAUCUUCAGAAGGUUAUAAAGCAAUAAUUUAUUAGGUAUGGUAAGGCCAUGGUUUUUCACAGUUUCAUUCCAGAUAGAGUACACAGUGUCUGCUAAGUGACAGCACAACUCAGGACAACAGCACACUCUACGAGAUUCAGAUAUUCUUCUGUGUUCAGCUUCAUUUAAGUUAACUCUUUUAAUAUUAUAGACACCUAGAAAAAAUCUGUCUAUAGGAGAAGGAGACCUUCAGAGUGCUGCUAAAAAAUGCUGCUUCUCUACUGGAUGUGUUUUCUCCCUCUGGAAAUUGAAACUGUGCCUAGUAUUGCUGAACACUUGCUCGUGCAGGAAAAUGUGCAUUUGACUUGGACAAAUAUGAAGUGUGUGUGGUGCUGGCAGGCACUGUGCUUGGGAGUGUGGAGCUGCAGAGACAGACUUUGCUUCUUCCCACUGAGCACGUAAUGCCUUUCAUCAUAUACUGUUUAACCUUACGCGUUCUGCCGCGGUCCUGGCUAACACUUCAUUUUAAGUGUGCCAGCAUUAUUAAUUCAUUUGGUAUUCACUGUAAUAACACUGAUCAUAAUUAACUCAUUCUGUAGCCUUGUGAGUGGUUUAAGUGCUCACAUGGAAUUCUGCUGCAAUUCAGCAUUAAUUAAGGUACCACCUAAUUUUUGCACAGAAACAAGAGCGUGUGAUCUGUCUCAUGAGGUAACUCAACAUCUCAGAAGGAGUGUAUGGAUCUCGUGAACAUGUUGGGUAUAUUCUCUCUCUGAGGAAAAUUGUAUACACCAUGUAGAUAAAUUAUGAAACAGUGAUAUUCUCUAACAUGCAAUACACACAUGCCUAUUCUGUAUGUCACUAUGUAUAUUGCACUGCAUUUAAUAAUGAUAAACACAUUUCUACUCUAUAAAAUGUGAGAAGAGCCAAGCUGCUUUUUAAGAAUUUAAAAGAAAAGCUAUAAAAGGAAAUAUCUUCAAAUUUUAAAAAUUCCCUCCUUUAAAUUUUAUAAAACUAUAUCCCAUAUAUCCAUAUUGAUAUAGAGCAGCUGAAGCAAUCAUAUAAUGUCAAAUUCCAUGUAUGAGUUUAACCAACCUUCUUGCUGCAAAGAUAUUGUGAACUAAAUAAUCUCCUUUAAUUGAAAAUAGGUGUAAAAUUGUUAUGCUUUUUUUAAGUACAUUGUAAAUCAGAAAAUUAGAACACUGUAAAGUAAAAAUGCAAGCUCCAUUUCAUAGCAACUUAGUAAAGUACAGAUACAGCUACAUUAUUUCAAUGCAUCCCUUAAACUAAUAUUUUCAGGCAUGAUUAACUUUGUUGGAGAAAAUUAUUCUAGGCAAAAUCUGGGCAAGUAAUGGCUCAGCUUGCAAGCUGAUUAUCUCUGCUACAAUUUCUUGAAAAUUCUUUCAAAAUUACUCACUUUUGCUCAUUUUCAGAUGAUGGAGAGGGCAGCUUUAUGUAAACUAUAUCUGUACACUAUGUGGUCACACCAAAUCAGAUCAUUGUCAACAAAGUAUUUGGGUUGUGUGUUUUAUCUUUUUUUGAUAUUCUUUGACUUGUGUGUCAAUUUUUCAUUUUGCUGUGUUAAACCCCACCUUGAUAACAAAAGGGAAGUUUGAAAGCUAAAAGUAAUGUCAUAUGAUUUAGGCUGUUUUUGCCACUAGUUUGUGGACCGAUAGCUUAAUCAUAUUGCUUAAUCUAUCAGUCUGCAAAGACCUCGGAAUGAAUUUCUCUUGGUCUACAUGAAGGAAUCAAGGGAACUAAAAAUAAACAGGAUUCAGCCAGUAAAUGUCUCAAAAUAGUAUUGAUUACUUUUACAGUCCAAACAUGUAUUGUGGAACACUCUUUGUAUUGGAAAUCAAUGACAAAAUUUUAAUUGACUUCCACAAAGCCAGCAUAUUUAUGAAAUUUAAGAUUGAGGCUGUGCUUUAUUUUUUAACCCACUGCUCUGCAAACUGCAGCUAGAAUAGUGGUCUACUCUUCUUCAAUGGUUAACUAUGAUUCUUAUUUGUAAAAAUGUGUUAUAUACUAAGUAAAAGAAGAAUCCCAAUAUUCUGUACUAUAUUAAUAGUAAGACAACAAAUUUGUGAUAUUCAGAGAAUACUGAGAUUUGAGAUUGCUUCUUAGAAUUCACAAUAUUUUUUAAGUUAAAAAAUAUGAAAGACAUUUUAUUUUUGAACACAGAAAGACUAAGGGAAUAUGAUCUUAUUUUAGAAAAACCCACAAUAUUUGAUUUAAAACUUCUUGAGCAGUAGAUCUGUCACACUGUAGGGUGAUGUCUUGCUUCAGAGAGUGCAGCCAAAGGUGUUUAGAUGCUCAUUAGGGAGAAUUUCAGAAAGGUUAAGUGCAAGCAUGCCCUGAAUGCAGUUCCCUAACGUAAACAAGUGUGUCUUUCACUCUGUGUUUUCUAUUUCGAGAGUUUGGGGUCUUCAGUUUCUAGAAACCCUACAAUUCUUCAUAAUCUUGCUGGAUUACAUUGUCUGAAUUUAUUUAGGCAACAAACUCCUAAGAGGAAAAUGAAGUUUGAGUGCCUUGCUGUUGCAAUAGGCAUUUUUUACCAUGUCUAAUGAUCAUUAUCUCUUAAGUAUUCCAAGAUCAAGAGCAUUGAAAACUCAUUUGAUUGAGACACUAGUACAGUUAUUUCAUUUAGUCUUGAAUUUCUGUAGUGUUUCUUAUGUGGAAGGAGAGGUAGAUCACAAGUCAUGCAGUUCAGCUCUCAGUUUGACCUUCCCAAGGGCCAUUUGUGGCUCCAUCAUAUGGAGUUCCAUCUAGUCAUUGCCUUGCAAAUGCUCCAGGUGCAAUUUCUAUAUUUUUUUUGGUGUUGUCUUAUUAUUUUAGUGAGAAAAUUAAUUUCCUUUCUCUCAAAGUUCUCUUACAUGAAAAAAUGUGAAGUAUUUUUUCAGUCUCAAAAAGAUUCAAAGAACACAGCAGUGAUCCUGAUGCUCCUUCUCUAUGUGUUUUCCACUGUUAUGCAGCGAUAUAGCAAAAAGCAGUAGAGGGGUAUUAGGUAUUUCUCCUUUUGCUCCUUGCUUACGAAAAGUAAGAUUCAAUUAUUUUCUAACAAGAAUUAGUUAGACUACAUAUUUUGAAAAACAUGGCCGAGGUACUGAUGCCAAUAAAAAAAACUGUGUGUAAUUGAGACACAAGUAGACAAUGCAAUCCAAAAAUUGUAUUUUCUCUUUUUAAUCUGUAAUGGAUAAAUAUGUGAAAGCAUGCAAUAACUGAUAUUAAAAGGAAAAAUAGAGUUAGAAGGAAUAACACAGAACUGAUUAACCCUGCAAAAACCUCCUACUAAGGUAGCAUUUAUACAGUGGGUUAGUCUCAUGUUAAUGAAACAUUUAAUUAUGUUGGUUGUAAACCUCAGUAUCAACACAAAAGGGGCAUUCUUUCAAAUUAAAAGGAAUGAACAUGAAUACAACAUUGUCACAAGUUUUUGCUUAAUUUUUGAUUUAUUUAGUUUCUCUUCAUUGGUUGAAGGGACUCAUUUUUCUUCCAAAUAGCUAUAGUUUUUUUUUAUUGUAAUAAUAUUAAAAAUACUAAUAACAAAAAAAAAAAAAAAAAAAAAAA